CCUACGGGUGGCUGCAGUGGGGAAUAUUGCACAAUGGGGGGAACCCUGAUGCAGCAAUGCCGCGUGGGUGAAGAAGCACUCCGGUGCGUAAAGCCCUGUCAGCAGGGGAGAAAAUUACGGUACCUGGGCAAUAAGCCCCGUCUAACUACGUGCCAGCAGCCGCGGUAAAACGUAGGGAGCAAGCGUUAUCCGGAUUUACUGAGUGUAAAGGGAGCGCAGGCGGGUUGGAAAGUCAGAUGUGAAGCCCCGGGGCCCAACCCCGGGAGUGCAUUUGAAACUGCCAGGCUGGAGUGCCGUAGAGGUAAGCGGAAUUCGUAGUGUAGCGGUGAAAUGCGUAGAUAUUAGGAGGAACACCAGUGGCGGAGGCGGCUUACUGGACGGUAACUGACGCUGAGGCUCGAAAGCGUGGGGAGCAAACAGGAUUAGAUACCCUUGUAGUC
rnacentral:rRNA from 1 species